UUAAAUAAAAUAUCUUGUUUCGGGUCUGGAUGAACCCAGGUGAGGAUGUGAUUGGUGGGGGAGAUUGUUGCCACUUGGAAUGGGUGCAUUGAGACAAGAGACAGCCCCUCCCAUGACCCCUCCCCACCUCUGAGCCCUGAAGGUGGUCUGGGGUCUCCUUGGAACCCCUCUCCUUGAGUCCUUCCCUUGUGUGAAGACACCACCAGUUUUGAACCUGUCCUCAGCGCCCGGGCCUUGUGGGUGUUUCUAGUGCUUUGCCCAAGCCAAGGGUGCUGUCCUGGGCAACCCAGUCCACGCCAUUUCCCGCCUGCGUGGUGCAGUCAGUUCCUUGCUUUCCUAGAAGCGAGUUUGUUGGGUCAAAGGGCAUGCGCAUUUGUGGUUUUGGGAGAUGCAGCCCAAAUCAUUACCAGUGAAAAUCUUGCCAGCGAAGGAGAGCCUGGCAGUGAAAUGCUUACUAUCCAGGGACCCCCCUGGGGGUGAACUGGAGCUUCUAAACUUUCUGAUGUGAAGCUUUGUCCUGAAGGGUCUGAUCCCUCUCGCGGCCCAAAGAAGGAAAUGAAACCUACCCUCUCCAGCCUGCCUCCUUCUACCACUGGUGACUCAUCAGAGCCCUACCCUGUGGCAGGCAGGUCUGGGUCGUGAAGGACAAAGUCCAGAAUGUACAUGACCUGGCCUCUGACGACAGCUUGAGGUCACUUCCUCUCCUGCUUUACACAUCAGCCAGCAGAAACCCUUGCAGUCCUUCGAAUCAAACUGUGUUUGCUCACGUUCGCGCUGGGACACCUCUUCCCUGUGACCCUGGCGGUGGUCACUCACACUUCAGUUCACCGGCCGAGCCAGCCCAGCUCCCCCCACCUCCCGAAAGCCUUCUUGGUUCCCCAUGCUGGGCAGUCCCUCCUCUGGUGUCCCUGAGCCCUCCCUAGGCUUCCCUGGCCCGGCCCGGCCCACUCUGGGUUGUCACUACUUGGGGAGGGUUCUGUUUCCCCCACUGGACGGUGAGCCCCGGGAGGGCAGGGCUGCGGCUGCCGUGCUCAGCCCUGGGUCCCCAGUAUCGCCCAGCAGAGAGCUCUACACAGACGGGGGGCCGGAGGGGGGCAUGUUGAACGAAUGAAUACAGGAGUGCACGAAUGAA